rnacentral:misc_RNA from 1 species
UGGCAUUCUAUGGCAAUGUGAAUUUAAUUUUUUUUAGGAUUUGAAAACAUGUUGCAAACAACAAAAUUACAAGGAAGCCAUAGGCAUAUUACCCUAGGAAUCAAAGAAUAUUGAAAAAUAGAGCAAUAUUGGGUUUCAUGAUAAUUCGCACACAUCAAGCCAAAGAUGAAUACGCAUAUAAGGCGAACACUGCACAAAUUUUUUCUCCUCUGUUAGCGAGCCUGCAUCUCCAAUCUCUACAUUCUAUUCCCUGAACUAAAUGAUUGGAGCCAGGUAGCGGUCCAGUCCAACGUCCAAUGCAUUUAUCACAAGAUCUCAAGAAUCAGCUUAUAGUGACAUCAAUUUCUUGCUUACACAGCAAUUGGAGAUUCCUUCGCAGUCAAGUUUGAAACAGCCAAAUUGAACUUCUCCCUGGUUUUUGUACCAGCAACCUGACCGGCCCUUGCCACUUUACUAAAGGCACCAUUUAGCCAAGCUGUUCCAGCCAUUACAUAUCUGCUUGAUUUGACAGCUGACCCUGUGUCAUUUAUCUUCCUCUCUGCCGCAAAUAUUGCUGCCAUGGUUUUAUCUGAAACAUGAAGUCUUUGGUCCACAGAUUUCACUUUCUCAUUGACCGCCGAAAUGCCAACUGUCAAUUUCUCUGUAAGCCCAACUCUCUGAUCAAAAGAAAUUACCUUGGCAGAUGCACUAGCAGUCAA